rnacentral:lncRNA from 1 species
AGACUCCUCCUGUGUGGGGAGGGUGGGAACGCUUCUUACCUUCCGUCCCAUAAUCAACUGUCUUCUUUGAACAAUAGAUUGUGAAUAAUUUCACAUCCCGGAACAUUCUCUCUCCAGGCAUGAUUUUCGUGGCUGCAAAACAGCGGCUUCUCCAUCAUUACGCAACUGGCCUCUCUGAUCGUUUCCAGAUUGCUCUCGGCCAUGCACCUCCUUGUCUAAACUCCGUUCUGCACCACCAGCAGUAUCAUGGCCUGGGGAGAAGGGGCUGUGUGCUCCAUUCCAGGAUCAAGACUUUGUAGAAAUCAUGUUUUCUAGAUGGUUGUGGGCUGUUGUCAGCAGAAGGACUCAAGGCAAUUAACAUACAGCUAAUGAACUCCAAAGAGGCGCUUUGAUUUUUGAAGAAUCUGACUUGAGAACAAAUCAAGACUAAGACUAAUAUAGCCUCAUCUUUCAACAUAGGAGAGUCGGAAAACAGGCUGAGUCUGCGACACCCAAAUGCCUGCCACCACCACAUCCCGGUAUGUGGGUUCAGCACUUGACAGCUAACAGAUCUCUUUGCUAGAUACAGCAAUCACAUUUUCUGGUUAAGGGAGUGAAAUUAACA